UGCUUGCUGCGAUGAAUCACAAGGACGGUAUCUGAGUAUGGUUGCUCUUGAAAAGGCCUCCUUCCUUGAUUAACAUCCUAAAUUGAUCAUAUAUUCUGAGCAAGCA
rfam:Triticum aestivum genome assembly, contig: Triticum_aestivum_CS42_TGACv1_scaffold_476542_6AL